UCGUUGGUCAUGCGCUUCUCUCCUUCCUUCUCCUUCCUCCGAUCCACGGAGAACGACGACGAGAGGAGGAUUCGCAGGGGAAGCGAUCAAAGUGAAGUUGGCGAUAAGAGAUAUCGACGAUGUAUGCUCAAGCGGGGCUUCAUCUGCCUUCGGUCUUCUCCCACGGAUUCUUCCAUGACUACAGCGGCGGCCACUACUCGUACCUACCGUUCUCCGACGAGGGCUUUCUCUCCCACCGAUUCUAUGUCGGAGUCGAGGACGGUCGGCAUAACUUGGCCAAUAUGGCACAGGCACCCUCUGUUUCAGAAUAUGAUAUGGGAGGAGAAGGAGACCUAUUCAAAGCUCCAGAACCCAUCUUAGAAGAUCCUGCACUUGAUCCCAUGGCUAAUGCCAUGUCCAUUAUAUCAGGUGGAGGAGAUGUCAUCACAGAAACAAUCAAGGCUGCAGAUAUAGAGUCAAUCCAAAACGAUCAUCUCACUGACAUUUACUUUGAGUGCAAGAAGGACCUUAUGGAGAAAUCGGAAAUUGAAGAGCCAAUUUCUCAGCUCCUAGAAGAAUUGAAGAUUCCUGCAGUUGGGAUGGCCGGAGUUCCGCCCCCUGGAAAAAUUCUCCGAGUAGAAAGAUCAAUUCAGAAAAGUGCAAGUUCUGAGUGUUUAAGCUCAUUAGAGUGGUUCCCUAGUUGCAGUAGAAGACUAGACUUCCUUGAUUUCCAGGGAUUGGAUUUUGAAGCUGCACUUGGUUUGAGGAGAGCAAGCAGCGAAGGAGAUGUUCAGAAUCUUGGCAAUAAGAGCACAAACUCAAGAAAUGCCACCACUGUAUGUUCUUCAUUCGAGCAACCCCUUUCCAUCAGUGAAAAUAAGACAGAGCUGCGACUACAAAAACUUUCCAGAUACAGGGAGAAGAAGAGUAAGAGAAACUUUGGCAGAAAAAUCAAGUAUGCUUGCAGGAAGGCUCUUGCUGAUAGUCAGCCUAGGAUUAGGGGAAGGUUUGCAAAGACGGAAGAUAACAUAUCCACUCAAAUAGUUAACUACGCAAGAUGUUGAAGCUGGUAGCAGCCCAUGAACUCCCUUGUUGACAAGGCUAAUCAUGAAGUUGAGAGAACAAAUGAGAUGGAAGAGAUGAGAAACUAAGAAGAUGCCACAAGUACUGUCAAUGUCUCCAUGACUUGUUCAACUUAUUUUAUAUGGCCAAGAAGCUGAGGAAGAGACUAUCGAACCAUGACUUUGAAAAAUUGUACUCUAAAUAGAACAGAAGUGGCAUGGCAAUAACCUGAGUAGUGACAAGAUGGAGAAGAUGGAGAGCGGAUAUUGUUACAUUAAGCUUGUUCUCCUUCUCCUCCUGUUUGCUUGUUCAGUAGCUGCUGGAGAUCCUGGAGUCAUUAACCUUCCAAGUUCUCAUGCAAAAGUAUAUCUUUGUGAUUUUGCAGGAAAUGAGAAAAUAAUAAUUCACAGACGCUUAAGAGUCCUGCUUGCCCGAGAUCCUUAUACUCCACCAAGUCCUCGGGCAAAUCCUUCUCAUGGACCCAUUACACACGGUUGAAAUUGGUUCGCACACUUAGGUGAUCUUUCAAGGUUAUAUUUCUCUUUCAGAUUAAAUGAUGCUCAGGAUAUUUAGCACCAAUAUUGAAGAUGGGUCCUUUUUAUUUCAUAUUGCACACGCCAUUUUUUCUUUAUGUAUUGCCCUUUCAAUGUAAUGUUUCUUAUAUAUGAGUCUAGUUUAUCUUGUUAGCAAGAGUCAGAAAUUUGUGUCAUCAUAAUUUAACUUAUUUAAUAUUUUUUUUAACAUUUAUAAUCAAUCAUUCUCUU